GGUGGAGAGGCUGGCUGGGCUCCCGGGUGUUGGGGCUCCGGCACAGCCUCAGAGCUUUGGGCUCCAGCCUGUGAACAAGCCAGAGCUGAGGACCGUUUUGGGGCAGGAAAGCACCCACGGGAGAAACUCGAGUUGGAGGCAGCAGAGGAAGCACAUGCCCCAGGGCGCCCGAGAGCAGCAGUCACCUCCCACUCCCAAGCCAGCUGCGUGUCCUCGGGCAGCCCCUCGCCCGCUGAGCCCCGUGACCUUGGCCUGUAAAGUGGCACUGAUCGUAAACUCACAGGGUCACGGGAGGUGGGGUGACUUAAUGCCCAUCGGUCCUUUCUCCCGGCCUGAGGCGCUUCAUGGGCACCUGGUACCACCCGGGGCCUCCAGCAGGCCGCGUUUAAGCCUCGCCUGUCCCUCGACCGGCUGAGUCGUGCGCCCCUUCCGGGCCUCAGUUUCCUCAACGGUACCACGGGGAUAACAGCCCCGACUUCAGAUCUGAGUAAGAAAAUGAACUCUGCAGUGCUGCUCCUGCUGUCCCGGAGUCAAAACCAAGCUCUGCAGAGCACACGACGCGUCCCCCAGCGCCCUGCUGGACCGGCCCCUCACCUCGCCUCCUCCCCCGGCUCUGUUCACACCGCCCGUGCUGGUCCCCCGGCCUGGAGCGCCUCUCCCAGGGUGCCAGUGAGUUAAGGUAGAACGCUGUGCCGUCUUCAGUGUUGCUUAUCGUUAGAGGACUUUUUAUUUCCAUUUCAGGUAAUUUCUGAUCCUGUUUAUGCGUGUCUGCAGGCGGGUGCACAAGGGUUUUUAGCUCAGGCUGCAUUUGGGUGUGGCGAUUUUCUUUUUGCUAUCAAUCGCUCAAUCAUCAAAAUUAGACUUGGAAAAUUAAAUACAAGGAAAGAAUGUAUAGCAUUUUAGGUUUUUUCCCCUUGAACAUUUACUUUUGCAGAAGGAGGCCUUUCUCCUAUAUAGUUUUCAUUUAGAGCAGAAAAAUGUUUUGUUCUUCACUGUUGAAGGAUGUUUUUUAGAGACAAGCAAACGUGAAAGCAUGAGAACUGCCACCUGGAGCCAGCACUGCCGUCCAUCCAGCCCAGGAAACGACCUUUAACUCAAAUCUUCCCUCAGCUGUUCCAGUGGACACUCACCUCUAGCUUCCCCAGGGUGGGGCGGGAUGGGGGGAAAGCACUGCUCUUUGACCCAGUAUUUCAACUUUGGGGAAUUUAUCUGAGACAUACACUUGCAUAUGUGUAAAUUAGCAGAUUGUACCGAUUGCAGUAUUAUUUGUAAUAGCAAAAGACUGGAAACAACCUGAAUGUCCAUCUGUAAGAGACAGGUUAAAUGACUUUUUAAACAAUAGAAUACUACACAGCCAUGAAAACAGACCUUGGUUACGUGUGACAGCGUAGUGGGAAAAAGGAAGCAGGACGCAAAAGAACAUUUACGCUAUGAUUCUCUUUGUAUAAAGAAUAAAAUCUGUUAAGGUAAAAACUAAACUAUAUUGUUAGAGAUGUUUACAUAAGUGGGAAAACUAUAAAGAAAGCGAGGACAUAAUUACUGAAAAAGUUAGGACAGUGUUACUUCUAGAGAGAGGGAGGGCGUUUGGAGGAUGCUUCUCUAGGGCUGGCAGUGUUUUUAUGUCUUACCUGGAUGGUGGCUUUAUAAUUAUUUUUUAAAUUGUACAUAAGUGUUUUGUGCAGUCUUUUGUAUGAAUGGGGUCUCUCAUGAUGUAAAACUAUCACAGUCCCCCCAAACAGUGGAAACUAUAUAGUUAUUAAAAAAGAACAAGACAGCUCUAUGUGGGUAGGCAUGGGAUGGAUUUAGGGGGGAGAAAACCAAAGAGAAGUACGGUGUGUUUAAUAUGCUACUUUCUGGGUAAAAUUAAAAAAAAGAAUAUAUCUGCCUCUAUGCUUUUGUCUGCUUAGACUAUGUCUAGAAAAAUCCCAAGAGUCAGGAAACAGGGAACUGGACAGUUGUUUCCCUUUGUGUACCUUUUGGAUUUCAUACCCUGUGCAUAUAUUACCUAUUCAAAAAAUAAAGUAAUUGUUAAAAACU